AACUCCAGCGACCCGCCGCUCCCGGCGCCGGCGCCGUCCGAGGGGCACCGCCGCGCCGCGCACAUGGAGAAGCGGGGGAAGAGGGUCGACUGCCCGGCGCUGCCCCCAGGCUGGAAGAAGGAGGAGGUGAUCCGCAAGUCGGGACUCAGCGCGGGCAAGAGCGAUGUGUACUAUUUCAGCCCAAGUGGGAAGAAGUUCCGAAGCAAACCCCAGCUGGCAAGAUACUUGGGGAACACGGUUGACCUCAGCAGCUUUGACUUCAGGACGGGGAAGAUGAUGCCCAGUAAAUUACAGAAGAACAAACAGAGAUUACGGAAUGAUUCGCUCAAUCAAAAUAAGGGCAAACCAGACUUAAACACAACGCUGCCAAUCAGACAGACAGCAUCCAUUUUCAAGCAGCCUGUAACCAAAGUUACCAACCACCCCAAUAACAAAGUGAAGUCUGAUCCCCAGCGAGUGAUCGAACAGCCUAGACAGCUUUUCUGGGAGAAGAGGCUGCAAGGCUUAAGUGCAUCCGAUGUGAGUGAGCAGAUUAUAAAAUCCAUGGAGCUGCCGAAAGGCCUUCAAGGCGUUGGCCCCGGGAACAGCGACGAAACUCUCCUCUCCGCCGUCGCCAGCGCGUUGCACACGAGUUCCGCUCCCAUCACGGGGCAGCUCUCUGCCGCCGUGGAGAAAAACCCAGCCGUGUGGCUGAACACAUCCCAACCUCUCUGCAAAGCCUUCAUCGUUACGGAUGAAGAUAUUAGAACAUGUUUCCGUGAUGGCUUUUCGAAUUGUUCCACAGAAAACAAGAGGAGCGAGUGCAGCAAGUACGCAAAAAACUGGAGGAGGCGCUAAUGGCAGACAUCUUGUCACGAGCCACAGACUCGCCUGACUUGGACGAGGUUGAGAUGGACAAUGGAGAACAAGCAUAAGGAUCAAAGAAUCAGGUACUUAAAUAAAAAUACCCCCAGAAGAAUUCCUAGAAGCUGGAGGUGCUUUUUUGUUUUCCGUUGGUCUUUCAUGAUGAGAAGAAAAGAACCUCUGCACAUUUAUAUAGCUUUUUAAUAGCAUUAAAAACCAAUGCCCUUUUUGGGCCGUUAUUUUUUGAUGUAUAUAUCUUAUUAAAAAAAAGAAUGAAAGAAAAGAGGAAAUGAAAGAAAAAAGGAAAAGCUACACUUUAUUUUGUGUUCUCUGACUUCAAAAGUCUUGCUUUAUUUUAUUUUUAAUUUUUUAAAAAAAAUAUUAAAUAAUCCCCCAAGACUGGAGCUCAGCUUUCAGUGCCAGGUUGCAGCCCUACUGGAACUAUUUGGCUAGCACUAAAUAAUAGGGUUGGUUUCUCCUGCUUCCUUUUUGUGCAUCUGUACGUGCUUGUAACAAUGGAUCAGGCAAAGAUUUCCCACUUUUUUUAAAACAAUAUUGUGAUAUGAUGUGUUGUACAUAUAUUAUAUAAAAGAUUUUUUAUACUGCAGCUGAAUGGAAACAUCUGUAGAUGAACCCUUUAUCAUUCUCUAAAGAGAAACAAGAAAUUAUAUUUGGAGUAACUAAAUUUUUAACCGUGAUGCGCCACCAUUCAAGGCAAAUCUUUCACUUCUCACCAUCCAGAGCUGGUCAGAUCUCCAUUCUGAAGAUUUGGAAGAAAAGCUGUCCAGUGAGUUGGGUGUGUCUAGAAGGACUUGGGUUCAGGUUGCUGACCAUCUUGUUGCACUUCUAAGGGCCACGGAAGGGGAGCUGCAUCCCUGACAGAGGCAAUUUUCACUUUCGGUGGGACGGAAUGCACACUGUGAUUUGUAGAAUAGACUUGCAUAUCCACAGAGGGUGCAGAAUUCCCAUGUCAGAUUUAGGCCUGUCUCACGCCCUCUCCCCCUCCUCUCCCCUCCCCUCCCUUUCCCCUCUUUCUCUGCCUCUUUUCUCCAUUUGUAAAAUGGGAAAACGUAGCCUACCUCACAGGGUUGUUGUGAGGAUAAACCUAAUAAAGAUUGUCAAGCACUUUUCAAA